AUUGAACGCUGGCGGCAGGCCUAACACAUGCAAGUCGAACGAGUGGCGGACGGGUGAGGAAUGUCGGGGAAACUGCCUGAGGGAGGGGGAUAACGACCGGAAACGGUAGCUAAUACCGCAUACAAUCGGAUGUGCCCAGAUGGGAUUAGCUAGUAGGUGGGGUAACGGCUCACAUAGGCGCCGAUCCCUAGCUGGUCUGAGAGGGUGACCCGCCACACUGGAACUGGGACACGGUCCAGCCUCCUACGGGAGGCAGCAGUGGGGAAUAUUGCGCAAUGGGCGCAAGCCUGAUGCAGCCAUGCCGCGUGUAUGAAGAAGGCCUUCGGGUUGUAAAUUACUUUCAGCGCGGAGGCGUUACUCGCAGAAGAAGCACCGGCUAACUCCGUGCCAGCAGCCGCGGUAAUUC
rnacentral:rRNA from 1 species